rnacentral:rRNA from 1 species
AUUGAACGCUGGCGGCAGGCCUAACACAUGCAAGUCGAACGAGUGGCGGACGGGAGAGUAAUGUCUGGGAAACUGCCAGAUGGAGGGGUAUAACCACUGGAAACGGUAUCUAAUACCGCAUACCAUCAGAUGUGCCCAGAUGGGAUUAGCUAGUUGGUGGGGUAACGGCGCACCAGGGCGACGAUCCCUAGCUGGUCUGAGAGGAUGACCAGCCACACUGGAACUGAGACACGGUCCAGACUCCUACGGGAGGCAGCAGUGGGGAAUAUUGCACAAUGGGCGCAAGCCUGAUGCAGCCAUGCCGCGUGUAUGAAGAAGGCCUUCGGGUUGUAAAGUACUUUCAGUGGGGAGGCGUUACCCGCAGAAGAAGCACCGGCUAACUCCGUGCCAGCAGCCGCGGUAAUAC